rnacentral:rRNA from 1 species
CAAUAGCGUAUAUUAAAGUUGUUGCGGUUAAAAAGCUCGUAGUUGGAUUUCUGCCGAGGACGACCGGUCCGCCCUCCGGGUGAGUAUCUGGUUUGGCCUGGGCAUCUUCUUGGAGAACGUAGCUGCACUUGACUGUGUGGUGCGGUGUCCAGGACUUUUACUUUGAGGAAAUUAGAGUGUUUCAAGCAGGCACACGCCUUGAAUACAUUAGCAUGGAAUAAUAAGAUAGGACCUCGGUUCUAUUUUGUUGGUUUCUAGAGCUGAGGUAAUGAUUAAUAGGGAUAGUUGGGGGCAUUCGUAUUUAACUGUCAGAGGCGAAAUUCUUGGAUUUGUUAAAGACGGACUACUGCGAAAGCAUUUGCCAAGGAUGUUUUCAUUGA